rnacentral:rRNA from 1 species
UACGGAGGAUCCAAGCGUUAUCCGGAUUUAUUGGGUUUAAAGGGAGCGUAGGCGGCUCAUUAAGUCAGAGGUGAAAACUUGCAGCUCAACUGUAAGCUUGCCUUUGAUACUGAUGAGCUUGAAUGUAGUUGAGGUGGGCGGAAUGUGACAAGUAGCGGUGAAAUGCAUAGAUAUGUCACAGAACACCAAUUGCGAAGGCAGCUCACUAAGCUAUAAUUGACGCUGAGGCUCGAAAGCGUGGGGAUCAAAC